rnacentral:rRNA from 1 species
CCUACGGGUGGCAGCAGUGAGGAAUAUUGGUCAAUGGACGAGAGUCUGAACCAGCCAAGUAGCGUGAAGGAUGACUGCCCUAUGGGUUGUAAACUUCUUUUAUAUGGGAAUAAAACGUUCCACGUGUGGGAUUUUGUAUGUACCAUAUGAAUAAGGAUCGGCUAACUCCGUGCCAGCAGCCGCGGUAAUACGGAGGAUCCGAGCGUUAUCCGGAUUUAUUGGGUUUAAAGGGAGCGUAGGUGGAUUGUUAAGUCAGUUGUGAAAGUUUGCGGCUCAACCGUAAAAUUGCAGUUGAAACUGGCAGUCUUGAGUACAGUAGAGGUGGGCGGAAUUCGUGGUGUAGCGGUGAAAUGCUUAGAUAUCACGAAGAACUCCGAGUGCGUAGGCAGUUCACUGGACUGCAACUGACACUGAGGCUCGAAAGUGUGGGUAUCAAACAGGAUUAGAUACCCUGGUAGUC